rnacentral:rRNA from 1 species
AUGAACGCUGGCGGCGUGCCUAAUACAUGCAAGUCGAGCGAACGGACGAGAAGCUUGCUUCUCUGAAGUUAGCGGCGGACGGGUGAGUAACACGUGGAUAACCUACCUAUAAGACUGGGAUAACUUCGGGAAACCGGAGCUAAUACCGGAUAAUAUUUUGAACCGCAUGGUUCAAAAGUGAAAGACGGUCUUGCUGUCACUUAUAGAUGGAUCCGCGCUGCAUUAGCUAGUUGGUAAGGUAACGGCUUACCAAGGCAACGAUGCAUAGCCGACCUGAGAGGGUGAUCGGCCACACUGGAACUGAGACACGGUCCAGACUCCUACGGGAGGCAGCAGUAGGGAAUCUUCCGCAAUGGGCGAAAGCCUGACGGAGCAACGCCGCGUGAGUGAUGAAGGUCUUCGGAUCGUAAAACUCUGUUAUUAGGGAAGAACAUAUGUGUAAGUAACUGUGCACAUCUUGACGGUACCUAAUCAGAAAGCCACGGCUAACUACGUG